UUUGAUAGCAAGCCCUUCAGACCCUAUUGGCUCGUUCACUUCAAGCCCUUGAAACCCUUACUGCUCUCUCUCUCAUUUUCCCCCCUUUAUCUCUAUUAACGCUUCAAAAACAUGUCUUCAUUUUUUUAUAGGUGGUCUAAGAUGACAUUCCACGUCAGAGUUGAAGGGCGUCAUUGCCGUUCAAGAGGUGGAAUCUCUCAAGCAUAUAUCUGCAAGUGGUGUAUCGUGCACACCAGAAAUACAGCAAGCUAUGUUCAUUUAAAGAAAGCAUAUGGAGAAUAGUAUGCAUAAGAAGUACUAAAUCUAGGCCUGAUACUUGUUCAGUUGUGUCUGGAUUAUUAAAAAAAGAGGAUAUGUAAGCAUGGGGUGUGCAGCCCUAUGACUUGGAUGACGCUGAUGCUCCUACCAUAUAGGGUAAAGUCAUUUUCUCUCGUUGUCAUUAUUUUAUUUUAGAUGCAUUGGAUUACUUGUCUCCCAGAUACCUUAACAAAACUCUUUUAGAACUUGCAAAGCUUUUUGAUGGUGCUGUUAUUUUUGUCGGUAAGCCCAUCUAGAUAAAUUUAUACUUAAAUCAUUUUAAAUUA